AUUGAACGCUGGCGGCAGGCCUAACACAUGCAAGUCGAACGAGUGGCGGACGGGUGAGUAAGGUCUGGGAAACUGCCCGAGGGAGGGGGAUAACUACUGGAAACGGAUGCCAAAACCGCCCACCAUAGGAUGUGCCCAGAUGGGAUUGGCUAGUGGGUGGGGUAACGGCUCACCUAGGCGACGAUCCCUAGCUGGUCGGAGAGGAGGACCAGCCACACUGGAACGGAGACACGGUCCAGACUCCUACGGGAGGCAGCAGUGGGGAAUAUUGCACAAUGGGCGAAAGCCUGAUGCAGCCAUGCCGCGUGUUUGAAGAAGGCCUUCGGUUUGUAAAGUACUUUAAGCGGGGAGGCGUUACCCGCAGAAGAAGCACCGGCUAACUCCGUGCCAGCAGCCGCGGUAAUUC
rnacentral:rRNA from 1 species